GCCCCCAUAGCUCAGGGGAUAGAGCGUCGGUUUCCUAAACCGUGCGUCGGAGGUUCGAAUCCUCUUGGGGGUGCCA
rnacentral:tRNA from 1 species